rnacentral:rRNA from 1 species
UACGUAGGGUGCAAGCGUUAAUCGGAAUUACUGGGCGUAAAGCGUGCGCAGGCGGUUAUGUAAGACAGAUGUGAAAUGCCCGGGCUUAACCUGGGAACUGCAUUUGUGACUGCAUGGCUAGAAUCUGGCAGAGGGGGGUAGAAUUCCACGUGUAGCGGUGAAAUGCGUAGAGAUGUGGAGGAACACCGAUGGCCGAAGGCAGCCCCCUGG